UGGAACGUAGCUCAGUAGUAGAGCAUGUGCCUAACAUGCAUGAGGUCCUGGGUUCAAUCCUCAGUACUGCAA
rnacentral:tRNA from 1 species